AAUAGGUGCAUUUUUAUACUGUUCACGUCCAACGUUUGACCGUUCGUCUUAUUUGAAAUUUUUCUAUGAUUAGUAUUUUUAUUGUUAGUAGAUGAUAAAACAUAAAUAGUAUUUUAUGUGUGACUAACUUUUUUUAAUAUUUUCAUAAAAUUUUUAAAUAAGACGAACGGUCAAACCUUCGAUACGGAUUACUACGAUUGCACUUAUU
rfam:Oryza barthii chromosome 3, whole genome shotgun sequence.